CGUGUAGGCGGGUGCGCAAGUCCGGUGUGAAAGCCCUCGGCUCAACCGAGGAAUGCCAUUGGAGACUGCGUGUCUUGAGUGCGGGAGGGGAGAGUGGAACUCUUGGUGGAGCGGUGAAAUGCGUAGAUAUCAAGAGGAACGCCGGUGGCGAAAGCGACUCUCUGGCCCGUUACUGACGCUGAGGCGCGAAAGCCAGGGUAGCGAACG
rnacentral:rRNA from 1 species